CCUACGGGCGGCAGCAGUGGGGAAUUUUGGACAAUGGGCGCAAGCCUGAUCCAGCCAUGCCGCGUGCGGGAAGAAGGCCUUCGGGUUGUAAACCGCUUUUGUCAGGGAAGAAAAGGUUCUGGUUAAUACCUGGGACUCAUGACGGUACCUGAAGAAUAAGCACCGGCUAACUACGUGCCAGCAGCCGCGGUAAUACGUAGGGUGCAAGCGUUCAUCGGAAUUACUGGGCGUAAAGCGUGCGCAGGCGGUUUUGCAAGACAGCGGUGAAAGUCACGGGCUCAACCUGGGAACUGCUUUUGGGACUGCAGAGCUAGAGUACGGUAGAGGGGGAUGGAAUUCCGCGUGUAGCAGUGAAAUGCGUAGAUAUGGGGAGGAACACCGAUGGCGAAGGCAAUCCCCUGGACCUGUACUGACGCUCAUGCACGAAGGCGUGGGGAGCAAACAGGAUUAGAUACCCUGGUAGUC
rnacentral:rRNA from 1 species